GGUCAGUUAGCUCAGUGGUAGAGCAUCGCCUUCACACGGCGGGGGUCACAGGUUCAAGCCCUGUACUGACCACCA
rnacentral:tRNA from 1 species